UACAGGGGGGGCAAGCGUUGUUCGGAAUUACUGGGCGUAAAGAGCUCGUAGGCGGUCUGUUGCGUCGGCUGUGAAAACCCGAGGCUCAACCUCGGGCCUGCAGCCGAUACGGGCAGACUAGAGUUCGGCAGGGGAGACUGGAAUUCCUGGUGUAGCGGUGAAAUGCGCAGAUAUCAGGAGGAACACCGGUGGCGAAGGCGGGUCUCUGGGCCGAUACUGACGCUGAGGAGCGAAAGCGUGGGGAGCGAACAGG
rnacentral:rRNA from 1 species